CCUAGCCUUUAAGAUGGGCACUUCUUAGGGAGACUCGCCGGGGACUAACCCGGAGGAAGGNGGGGAAGACGUCAAAUCUAUCAUGCCCCUUAUGAUUUGGGCUACACACGUGUACAAUGGCGCUAUAUCACAAGGGAAGCGAAACUCCUGAACCUCGUGAGCCAAUCCCAAAAAAUAAUCACGUCGCUAGUUCAGGACAUCCACNUGGGUAACUG
rnacentral:rRNA from 1 species